rnacentral:misc_RNA from 1 species
CGGGCAUUGAAUUUUUUCUAUUCUCUUGUCAACAGUUGAGCUUGAGAGGACUACAUCCCUCCCUCUUUUACAACAUCUUUAUUUUUAGAGGGGAAUUGAUAACAUUCAACUGUAAAUAUAAAUACAGAAUAUAUGAUGUUUACAAACCAAACCUUUUCGGUCUCAAAUAAGUGGAAGAGCCUAGUCGCAGCCCUAGCAUAGGGACUUGCUGCUGCUGCUUUACCUUCCUUUGCCUUUCCCUUUCCUUGCUCUCUUUC